rnacentral:rRNA from 1 species
UGCUCCGCCCCACCGCAUGGUGGGGUGGGAAAUGCUUUUUGCGGCAUGGGAUGGGGUCGCGUCCUAUCAGCUUGUUGGCGGGGUGAUGGCCCACCAAGGCGUUGACGGGUACCCGGCCUGAAAGGGCAACCGGCCACUUUGGGACUGAAAUACGGCCCAAACUCCUACGGGAGGCAGCAGUGGGAAAUAUUGCACAAUGGGCGCAAGCCUGAUGCACCGAUCCCGCGUGCGGAAUGACGGCCUUCGGGUUGUAAACCGCUUUUAUCGGGGAGCAAGCGUGAGUGAGUUUACCCGUUGAAUAAUCACCGGCUAACUACCUGCCAACAUCCGCGGUAAUACCUACGGUGCAAGCGUUAUCCGGAAUUAUUGCGCGUAUAGGGCUCGUAAGCGGUUCGUCACGUCCGGUGUGAAAGUCCAUCGCUUAACCCUGGAUCUGCGCCGGGUACGGGCGGGCUGGAGUGCGGUAGGGGAGACUGGAAUUCCCAGUGUAACGGUGGAAUGUGUAGAUAUCGGGAAGAACACCAAUGGCGAAGGCAGGUCUCUGGGCCGUUACUGACGCUGAGGAGCGAAAGCGUGGGGAGCGAACAGGAUUAGAUACCCUGGUAGUCCACGCCGUAAACGGUGGAUGCUGGAUGUGGGGCCCUUUCCACGGGUCCUGUGUCGGAGCCAACGCGUUAAGCAUCCCGCCUGGGGAGUACGGCCGCAAGGCUAAAACUCAAAGAAAUUGACGGGGGCCCGCACAAGCGGCGGAGCAUGCGGAUUAAUUCGAUGCAACGCGAAGAACCUUACCUGGGCUUGACAUGUGCCUGACGAUCCCGGAGACGGGGUUUCCCUUCGGGGCGGGUUCACAGGUGGUGCAUGGUCGUCGUCAGCUCGUGUCGUGAGAUGUUGGGUUAAGUCCCGCAACGAGCGCAACCCUCGCCGCGUGUUGCCAGCGGGUCAUGCCGGGAACUCACGUGGGACCGCCGGGGUUAACUCGGAGGAAGGUGGGGAUGACGUCAGAUCAUCAUGCCCCUUACGUCCAGGGCUUCACGCAUGCUACAAUGGCCGGUACAACGGGGUGCGACACGGUGACGUGGGGCGGAUCCCUGAAAACCGGUCUCAGUUCGGAUCGCAGUCUGCAACUCGACUGCGUGAAGGCGGAGUCGCUAGUAAUCGCGGAUCAGCAACGC